GACGAACGCUGGCGGCGUGCCUAACACAUGCAAGUCGAACGGAACUGUUUUGAAAGAUUUCUUCGGAAUGAAUUUGAUUUAGUUUAGUGGCGGACGGGUGAGUAACGCGUGAGUAACCUGCCUUCAAGAGGGGAAUAACAUUCUGAAAAGAAUGCUAAUACCGCAUGACAUAUCGGAACCACAUGGUUUUGAUAUCAAAGAUUUUAUCGCUUGAAGAUGGACUCGCGUCCGAUUAGUUAGUUGGUGAGGUAACGGCUCACCAAGACCGCGAUCGGUAGCCGGACUGAGAGGUUGAACGGCCACAUUGGGACUGAGACACGGCCCAGACACCUACGGGAGGCAGCAGUGGGGGAUAUUGCGCAAUGGGGGCAACCCUGACGCAGCUACGCCGCGUGAAGGAUGAAGGUUUUCGGAUUGUAAACUUCUUUUAUUAAGGACGAAAAAUGACGGUACUUAAUGAAUAAGCUCCGGCUAACUACGUG
rnacentral:rRNA from 1 species